rnacentral:rRNA from 1 species
UACGGGGGGGGGCAAGCGUUGUUCGGAAUUACUGGGCGUAAAGGGCUCGUAGGCGGCCAACUAAGUCCGACGUGAAAUCCCAAGGCUUAACCUUGGAACUGCGUCGGAUACUGGAUGGCUUGAAUUCGGGAGAGGGAUGCAGAAUUCCAGGUGUAGCGGUGAAAUGCGCAGAUAUCAGGAAGAACACCCGUGGCGAAGGCGGUUCUCUGGGACGGUACUGACGCUGAGACGCGAAAGCGUGGGGAGCGAACAGG